UACAGAGGCCUCGAGCGUUAGGCGGAAUCACUGGGCUUAAAGCGUGUGUAGGCGGACUUCUAAGUACCUUGUGAAAUCCCACGGCCCACCCGUGGAACUGCUCGGUAUACUGGUCGUCUUGAGCCUUCUAGGGGCGAGUGGAACAAAUGGUGGAGCGGUGAAAUGCGUAGAUAUCAUUUGGAACGCCAAUGGUGAAAACAACUCGCUGGGGAAGUGCUGACGCUGAGACACGAAAGCCAGGGGAGCGAACGGGG
rnacentral:rRNA from 1 species